GUGGCGAACGGGUGAGUAACACGUGGGAAACCUACCUCUUAGCAGGGGAUAACAUUUGGAAACAGAUGCUAAUACCGUAUAACAAUAGCAACCGCAUGGUUGCUACUUAAAAGAUGGUUCUGCUAUCACUAAGAGAUGGUCCCGCGGUGCAUUAGUUAGUUGGUGAGGUAAUGGCUCACCAAGACGAUGAUGCAUAGCCGAGUUGAGAGACUGAUCGGCCACAAUGGGACUGAGACACGGCCCAUACUCCUACGGGAGGCAGCAGUAGGGAAUCUUCCACAAUGGGCGAAAGCCUGAUGGAGCAACGCCGCGUGUGUGAUGA
rnacentral:rRNA from 1 species